rnacentral:rRNA from 1 species
UGGGGAAUAUUGGACAAUGGGCGCAAGCCUGAUCCAGCAAUGCCGCGUGUGUGAAGAAGGCCUUCGGGUUGUAAAGCACUUUUUAUCAGGAGCGAAACGCUGUCGGCUAAUACCCGGCGGAACUGACGGUACCUGAGGAAUAAGCACCGGCUAACUUCNUGCCAGCAGCCGCGGUAAUACGAAGGGUGCAAGCGUUAAUCGGAAUUACUGGCGNAAAGCGUCGUNGCGGUUUCUUAAGUCUGCUGUGAAAUCCCCGGGCUCAACCUGGGAAUGGCAGUGGAUACUGGGAGGCUAGAGUGUGUCAGAGGGUGGUGGAAUUCCCGGUGUAGCGGUGAAAUGCGUAGAGAUCGGGAGGAACAUCAGUGGCGAAGGCGGCCACCUGGGACAACACUGACGCUGAGGCACGAAAGCGUGGGGAGCAAACAGGAUUAGAUACCCUGGUAGUCCACGCCCU